GACGAACGCUGGCGGCGUGCCUAAUACAUGCAAGUCGAACGAGAGCAACCGGUGCUUGCACUGGUCAAUCUAGUGGCGCACGGGUGAGUAACACGUGGGUAACCUGCCCAUCAGAGGGGGAUCACAUCCGGAAACGGAUGCUAACCCGGCAUGGGCUUCCGACCCACUUGGUUUGUGGGGAAAAUUCGGCGCAAGCUUCUGCUCUCGCAUGUUCCCGCGGUGCUUUAGAUGGUUGGUGAGGUAACGGCUCACCAAGGCCGUGAUGCAUAGCCGACCGGAGAGGGUGAUCGGCGACAUUGGGACUGAGACACGGCCAAAACGCCUACGGGAGGCAGCAGUAGGGAAUCUUCCGCAAUGGACGCAAGUCUGACGGAGCAACGCCGCGUGAGUGAAGAAGGUUUUCGGAUCGUAAAACUCUGUUGUUAGAGAAGAACAAGUGCUAGAGUAACUGUUAGCGGCGUGACGGUAUCUAACCAGAAAGCAACGGCUAACUACGUG
rnacentral:rRNA from 1 species